UACGUAGGGUGCAAGCGUUAAUCGGAAUUACUGGGCGUAAAGCGUGCGCAGGCGGCUUUGCAAGACAGAUGUGAAAUCCCCGGGCUCAACCUGGGAACUGCAUUUGUGACUGCAUGGCUAGAGUACGGUAGAGGGGGAUGGAAUUCCGCGUGUAGCAGUGAAAUGCGUAGAUAUGCGGAGGAACACUGAUGGCGAAGGCAAUCCCCUGGACCUGUACUGACGCUCAUGCACGAAAGCGUGGGGAGCAAACAGG
rnacentral:rRNA from 1 species